ACAGAUGUAGCUUGGUGGGCAGAGUACUUUCUUAGCAUGUACAAGAGACCCUGGGUUCAAUCCCCAGCACUGAA
rnacentral:tRNA from 1 species